AACUUUGUAUUGAUUAAAAGUUAACAUAGGUCAAACUUAUAGCAUGGUAAUUAAAGUAAAAAGAAUUAAAAAUUAACCAAAAUUCUAUAUAACCCAGCAAGAAACAUUAAACUAUUAUAGAAAUAUUAAUUUAAUUUAGCCUAUCUAAGCUGGACCUAUUAGGUGCCAGCAGUCGCGGUCACACCUAACAGAUAAGUUAACUUUUUCAGGUAAGCUAAAGGAAAAAAUUUCUAUAUUCAGGUGAAAUUAUUAUAGAAAUCUAUUCUGCUUUCCUAAUAUACUGCUUAAGCUCUGGAAAUAAACUAGGAUUAGAUACCCUACUAUAUAGAGUGUAAAAUUUUCACCUAAGCACUAUGACUAUAAAGUUAAAACUUAAACUACAUGGCGGCAGCUAGAAAUUUCAGGGGAACUUGCCAGAUAAAUGAUAAUCCUCAAAUUAACUCUACUCUUAUUAAAAGUUUGUAUAUCGCCGUCUUCAGCAUUCAUUUUAGAUGAAUUCGUAAUGUUUCAAAACAAAAAGACAGGUUCUGAUGCAGCCAAUAUAAGAGUCCAGAGGUGAGUUACAAUGAAUAAUAAUUUUAGAUUUUCUUUGAAAACAAAGUUAUGAAAAUGGACUUGAAAGUAACAAUUAUAAUAUACAUUAAUUGAAUUAAAAAUCUAGCUGUGCACAAAUCGCCCGUCACUUUCGUUGAAAAAUGAAAUAAGUCGUAACAUAGUAGGUGUACCGGAAGGUGCACC
rnacentral:ncRNA from 1 species